GGCAAGAGGAAUAAAGAGAUAGACCACAAUAGAGAGAUAGGAAUAAACAGACCCCAAGAGAGAGAAAUGAGGAGUGAUGGAACAGAAGUGAAGAUAGGAGGAAUGAUGGAACAGAAGAGGAGAUAGGAGGAGUGAUGGAACAGAAGUGAAGAUAGGAGGAGUGAUGGAACAGAAGUGAAGAUAGGAGGAAGUGAUGGAACAGAAGAGGAGAUAGGAGGAAUGAUGGAACAGAAGAGAAGAUAGGAGGAAGUGAUGGAACAGAAGUGAAGAUAGGAGGAGUGAUGGAACAGAAGUGAAGAUAGGAGGAAGUGAUGGAACAGAAGAGGAGAUAGGAGGAGUGAUGGAACAGAAGUGAAGAUAGGAGGAGUGAUGGAACAGAAGUGAAGAUAGGAGGAAGUGAUGGAACAGAAGAGGAGAUAGGAGGAGUGAUGGAACAGAAUAGGAGAUAGGAGGAGUGAUGGAACAGAAGAGGAGAUAGGAGGAAUGAUGGAACAGAAGAGGAGAUAGGAGGAGUGAUGGAACAGAAUAGGAGAUAGGAGGAGUGAUGGAACAGAAGACGAGAUAGGAGGAAGUGAUGGAACAGAAGAGGAGAUAGGAGGAGUGAUGGAACAGAAUAGGAGAUAGGAGGAGUGAUGGAACAGAAGAGGAGAUAGGAGGAGUGAUGGAACAGAAGAGGAGAUAGGAGGAGUGAUGGAACAGAAUAGGAGAUAGGAGGAGUGAUGGAACAGAAGAGGAGAUAGGAGGAAGUGAUGGAACAGAAGAGGAGAUAGGAGGAGAUAUGGGAAUAACAGAAGCAGAUUUACAAACUCCUACAAUGACCAACAUCUCCUACGGCUUGGGGACAAAAUUAUACAAUUCUCCUAUGGAACUAUUCUUUCAUUUUCAUGUGCUAUAUUAGUAUUAGAUAAGAUCUUUAACUUGUAUAUGAAUCUUUGAGAUUGAUAUAAAGAAAAUGAUCAAAUAUCAGCAUCACUGCUCACAAAUCCUCAUCAUAACACCCAUCCUCCAUUUUA